GGGACCUGACGAAUCUCACCGGAGCGGAGAGAGGUCCAGAUCCCUUCUCUACGAAGCUUGAUUUCCCUUCUCCGGCGAACGCUUAUUCUUGUGUCGGAUGAUAAUGCCACUCGUCACGGUGGUGGAAGUGGAGCCGCCGAGUCCGUGGCGGUAUUUGAUCGGAGCGGUGGUGAUGAUGAUCGGCGUCGUGUUGCCCGUCGGCUACAUGAUGUUUCGUAACCAGCGCGGUCCCCUCUCCUCUUCUUACUCUAAACAGACGUAGGAACAAAGUUUUGAUAUAGAAAGAGGUUUCAGUUGGGAAGAAGAUGAUAGAUGAAUGUGAACCGGGGGAUCUCCUUCAGAUUCACGAAACCACAUGUGAAUACUUUUUCUUAGUUCUCUCGUUCUUUUCCGCUUCGAUUAUAUAUUAUGACCGAAUACAUGUUGUUUAACAUGUACAAAGAUCGACUGCGUGUUGUUUUGCAUUUUGUUAGAACUGCAUGUUGUUUAACUCAUACAGCGGUAUACUGUGUGUUGUUUUUUCUUACGCUUGAAAAGCGUGUUGUUCGACUGAUUCCAUCGGAGACUACUUGCUAUUUUUUUAGCUGGAAAUGUAUGUCGUUUCGCUC